AUGAAACUUAUCGAAUGGAACUGCCGGGGGCUCGGGAAUGGCCAGGCAGGUCGUAGCCUCCUCGACUUGGGGAGGGUGGAGGAGCCCGACGUCCUAUUCUUGGUGAAGAAAAAACUUUCGGAGAAGGAGUUGGAGAGGUUUCGUUGGUCGUUUGGUAUGGUUAACAUGAUUGCAUGGAACCUGGUAGGGCGGAGCCGAGAGGUAGCGUUGUUUUGGAGACGAGGGUUGGAUAUUGCGUUAAGAUAA
rnacentral:rRNA from 1 species